rnacentral:rRNA from 1 species
AUUGAACGCUGGCGGCAGGCCUAACACAUGCAAGUCGAACGAGUGGCGGACGGGUGAGUAAUGUCUGGGAAACUGCCCGAUGGAGGGGGAUAACUACUGGAAACGGUAGCUAAUACCGCAUACCCUCGGAUGUGCCCAGAUGUGAUUAGCGAGUAGGUGGGGUAACGGCUCCCCUAGGCGACGAUCCCUAGCUGGUCUGAGAGGAUGACCAGCCACACUGGAACUGAGACAUGGUCCAGACUCCAACGGGAGGCAGCAUGGUGAUAGAUCGCACAAGGGGCUCAAGCCUGAUGCGGCCAUGCCGCGUGUAUGAAGAAGGCCUUUGGGUUGUAAAGGACUUUCAGCGAGGAAGCGUUACUCGCAGAAGAAGCACCGGCUAACUCCGUGCCAGCAGCCGCGGUAAUUC